AACCAGACUCCUACGGGAGGCAGCAGUGGGGAAUAUUGCACAAUGGGGGAAACCCUGAUGCAGCGACGCCGCGUGAGUGAGGAAGUAUUUCGGUAUGUAAAGCUCUAUCAGCAGGGAAGAAAAUGACGGUACCUGACUAAGAAGCCCCGGCUAACUACGUGCCAGCAGCCGCGGUAAUACGUAGGGGGCAAGCGUUAUCCGGAUUUACUGGGUGUAAAGGGAGCGUAGACGGAUAAGCAAGUCUGAUGUGAAAGUCCGGGGCCCAACCCCGGAAUUGCAUUGGAAACUGCAUAUCUAAAGUGUCGGAAAGGCAGGUGGAAUUCCUGGUGUAGCGGUGAAAUGCGUAGAUAUCAGGAGGAACACCAGUGGCGAAGGCGGCUUGCUGGGCGAUGACUGACGUUGAG
rnacentral:rRNA from 1 species